UCAUAUGCUGAUUAAGUCUCCGGGGGUCUUGAUUUUGGUCUCUUUUUUAUCGUGCUUUGAUGAAACUUUUCAUAGUACAGCAAUAUCAACGCUAAACUUAUCUAAACAUUGGCAUAAAUGCAUAACGACGGGUGGUAACUUCGAUAUACUGGAAUCGGGUGACAAUGGCAAGUGAACAAAAAGGAGGUAAUGAAUGAGUCAUACCCCAAUAAUCUCUUUGGGAGUCUUCACCUUUGGUGUCCUUCUCUUCUUGUGCUUUGAUGGAUCCUUUCAUAAUACAGUAAUAUAGAAGUUAGACUCAUCAUUUACAUUGGCAGGCCAGCAGUCUAGUGACAUACUGGAAUCAGGUAAUGACGACCAGC
rnacentral:lncRNA from 1 species